AUCUGCUCAACAUUAAUAAUUCUCAUUUUAACAAGCUUAAAUAAACUUAAGCAGAGCCUCGGGUAAAACACAACAAUUGUAAACAUGAAAAGCCAAAAUGAAAUUUACUGCUGACUUGACGUAAUUAUAAAAUAGAAGUCAGCUUGCAAAAUAUAACUAAAUGCAACAGCAUAUGCGUUUCAAAAAAUAUUAAGUAAUGUGCGGCUAUAUUGCAGGCAACUGCUUGAAAAUUAAUUUGUUGUCGGGAAGGUAAGGAAAAUAUACCUAGAAUAUUAUGAUUAUAUGUGCGGGCAUGUGCAUGCAUCCAAAUUACCAACACUAAUACAAAUAUAAUAACAAUUAUGCCGAAGAAGCGACGACUAAUAUGGAACAGGCGAGGCAGACAGCGAACAGAUUUCUGCAGCGUCAUGAACAAAUGAAACAGUGGUGGCGGCAUAAGGAACGCAAAUUAUCAUUUAAUUGCAGCUGGAUUCUCAGCUCUAUUCCCCCAAUGCUAACCCAAAGUUAGCCAGAAAAACGUGGCCCAUAAAUAGCAACAACUUGGCAAGGAAUUGAAAGCACUUGAAUACACUUUAGUUAUGUAAGAUUUAUAGUCAAAUGACACUGGCUGAAAUCAAGCAAAUGCAUUAACUUGGCUUCAGUCUUACUUUAAAAUUACA